rnacentral:lncRNA from 1 species
GGUGUCUCCAUAAGACUUUCACUGAUGUGAUUGCCUUAUUUCUGAGUUGUUGCACUUUUCGAUCCAGAAUGGCUUCGGGUUCUUCAUAGCUCAAAUCUGGGCUAAGAAUCAUCAAUUCUUGGUGGAUCAUAUACUUCGGAUCGAAAACGUAUUUCCUAAGUUGUGAUCAUGGAAGACAUUGUGAACGUUUCCAAAGCUUGGCGGUAACGCCAACAUGUAGGCUACUGGACCUAUCAUCUCGAGGAUUUCAUAUGGUCCUAUAAAUCGGGGCCUAAGCUUUCCUUUGACACCAAACCUA